rnacentral:rRNA from 1 species
UAUCGGAUUACUGGGCGUAAGCGCACGCAGGCGGUCUGUCAAGUCGGAUGUGAAAUCCCCGGGCUCAACCUGGGAACUGCAUUCGAAACUGGCAGGCUGGAGUCUUGUAGAGGGGGGUAGAAUUCCAGGUGUAGCGGUGAAAUGCGUAGAGAUCUGGAGGAAUACCGGUGGCGAAGGCGGCCCCCUGGACAAAGACUGACGCUCAGGUGCGAAAGCGUGGGGAGCAAACAGGAUUAGAUACCCUGGUAGUCCACGCUGUAAACGAUGUCGACUUGGAGGUUGUUCCCUUGAGGAGUGGCUUCCGGAGCUAACGCGUUAAGUCGACCGCCUGGGGAGUACGGCCGCAAGGUUAAAACUCAAGGAAAUUGACGGGA